rnacentral:rRNA from 1 species
AGAAUCAACGCUGGCGGCGUGCCUAACACAUGCAAGUCGCACGAGAAAGGGGAGCAAUCCCUGAGUACAGUGGCGCACGGGUGAGUAACACGUGAAUAAUCUACCUCCGAGUGGGGAAUAACUGAGAGAAAUCUUAGCUAAUACCGCAUAACACUUACGAGUCAAAGCAGCAAUGCGCUUGGAGAGGAGUUCGCGGCAGAUUAGUUAGUUGGCGGGGUAAUGGCCCACCAAGACGAUGAUCUGUAUCCGGCCUGAGAGGGCGCACGGACACACUGGAACUGAAACACGGUCCAGACUCCUACGGGGGGCAGCAGUGGGGAAUUUUGCGCAAUGGGGGAAACCCUGACGCAGCAACGCCGCGUGGAGGAUGAAGCCCCUUGGGGUGUAAACUCCUUUCGAUCGGGAAGAUAAUGACGGUACCGAUAUAAGAAGCCCCGGCUAACUUCGUGCCAGCAGCCGC